rnacentral:tRNA from 1 species
AGGCGCGUAGCUCAGCGGGAGAGCGCUACCUUGACACGGUAGAGGUCGGCGGUUCGAAACCGCCCGCGCCUA